rnacentral:rRNA from 1 species
AGUGAACGCUGGCGGUAGGCCUAACACAUGCAAGUCGAACGGCAGCACAGUAAGAGCUUGCUCUUACGGGUGGCGAGUGGCGGACGGGUGAGGAAUACAUCGGAAUCUACUUUUUCGUGGGGGAUAACGUAGGGAAACUUACGCUAAUACCGCAUACGACCUACGGGUGAAAGCAGGGGAUCUUCGGACCUUGCGCGAUUGAAUGAGCCGAUGUCGGAUUAGCUAGUUGGCGGGGUAAAGGCCCACCAAGGCGACGAUCCGUAGCUGGUCUGAGAGGAUGAUCAGCCACACUGGAACUGAGACACGGUCCAGACUCCUACGGGAGGCAGCAGUGGGGAAUAUUGGACAAUGGGCGCAAGCUUGAUCCAGCCAUACCGCGUGGGUGAAGAAGGCCUUCGGGUUGUAAAGCCCUGUUGUUGGGAAAGAAAAGAAGCAGGUGAAUACCCCGCUGUUCUGACGGUACCCAAAGAAUAAGCACCGGCUAACUUCGUG